CCUACGGGUGGCAGCAGUGAGGAAUAUUGGUCAAUGGACGAGAGUCUGAACCAGCCAAGUAGCGUGAAGGAUGACUGCCCUAUGGGUUGUAAACUUCUUUUAUAUGGGAAUAAAAUGUUCCACGUGUGGGAUUUUGUAUGUACCCUAUGAAUAAUGAUCGUCUAACUCCGUGCCAGCAGCCGCGGUAAUACGGAGGAUCCGCGCGUUAUCCGGAUUUAUUGGGUUUAAAGGGAGCGUCGGUAGAUUGUUAAGUAAGUUGUGAAAGUUUGCGGCUCAACCGGAAAAUUGCAGUUGAAACUGGCAGUCUUGAGUACAGUAGAGGUGGGCGGAAGUCGUGGUGUAGCGGUGAAAUGCUUAGAUAUCAAGAAGAACUCCGAUUGCGAAGGCAGUUCACUGGACUGCAACUGACACUGAGGCUCGAAAGUGUGGGUAUCAAACAGGAUUAGAUACCCCUGUAGUC
rnacentral:rRNA from 1 species